rnacentral:pre_miRNA from 1 species
GGGGAGGCGCGGGAUAUUGGGCUGUGUCCCUGGCUCUCAGUGCUCAUGGGCCUGUGCUACUAGAAUCGCAUUCCCAGCCACCAGCUCCCU